GCCCACACACAACUCAUUCUCUGUCAAAUUAUGAGGUCUCUAAUAUAAUUAUAAGGACCAGGAAGGCCACGCAAUAUUGCUUUGUUCUCUUUACUGGCAAGGGGAGAUUAAUGUCAGACAUGCGAUUUCUUUUUUCUGAUGUCAGAGCUGAAAUGUGCAAGGGUCGUCACCAUAGCAACCCAACAUCCCUUACAAGAAUUUCACAUCAGGUGCAAUAAAUUCUGAAUAAUGAAGCUUGCUGCCGCAUAGCCUUGCCAUGAGGCACAGGUGUGCAAUUAAACAACACAGAUUAAGCUUUAAAAGGUAGCUGGUUUAUAAGUGUCACAAAGACAAAUAAGCAAGAGCAACAAGGAUGAGACAAAGCACUGACAGGCUGUCAUCAUCAUCCAUCCAUCAAUAUAGUUUCAAGCCUGCUUAUUGCAUAUCACGGUCAAGGGGACGACAUCGUAUCCCAGCAGAACCUGACAAAAGGUGACCUCACUACCGUCCCAUCCAGAUGACCUCACUUUCCUGAUGACCUUACUUCCGUCCCACCUUGAUGACCUCACGUCCGUCCCACCCUGAUGGCCUCACACUUCCUGCCACCAUAAUAUAAAACCUGAUUAAUUCAUUUCCUCAUUGUCUUGUUGUUUUGCAGUGCAUCAGACCAGUAUCAGUCCUUUGUGAUAACAUAUGGAGUGACUCCCCAGCUCUUUAUUUUGUUCAACUUCUAUUUAUUCUACAACAGCUUACACACGCAUAUGUUUGAACUUGAAAUGUUGGCAAAAAUCUUGUAAAAAUCACAUAAUAAUCCUUGAUAUGACUAGGUUUCUCUUCCUUUUACAAUGAAUUAUUAAAUUCCUAGGACAAUCUGAGAAUGUUGUUUUUGUAAUUAAAAUCGAAACCUAAAUUGUGCUACCUACCUAUCCAUCCAACUAUUUUCUGAAGCUGCUUAAUCCUGUUGCAUAAUUGCAGGAAGCCAGGGCCCAUCGCAACAAUAAUGUGCUCAAGGAAGCAACCUAGCCUGGAUGGGACUUCCCAAACUAAAACUUAGUCCCCUGGAGCUGUGAGGCAGCAGCACUUUCCACUGCACCAUGCCAGCCCUUCUGCCAUCUGAAAAAAUCAAAGAUAAUUAAUACUAAUAGUUUAAUCAUUAAUUGAUAAAAUAAAUUAAUAAUUUAGGAUAACACACAGUAGAUUAGUUUAUAAUAGCUGCUUUUGAAAACGUCACAACUGAUUUUUUAAGGCCAAAUUAACAUAUGGCAUCUUUUAAUUUGGACCAACCACUAAUUUUCUGUAGAGGCUUAUUUCUGUCCAGGCUUAGCUUACAGCUUAUGAAGUAGGUGGAAGAGACUAAAGGAGAGCCUAGUACUUCAAGAAAAAUUGGAAGUGGUCUCCCCUAGACUUUCUUGUAUCGAUAUGGGGAUGGAUAUUUGAGGAGUA